rnacentral:rRNA from 1 species
GGGUCUACCCAUUGGUCAGGCUUAAUUGUUUGUACUGGUGAGAUGGAUAUCUACCUUCUGAGGAACGUUCAUGCCAUUUAUUUGGUGUGGUUGGAAAUCAGGACUGUUACUUUGAAAAAAUUAGAGUGUUUAAAGCAGACUAUCGUCUGAAUACAUUAGCAAGGAAUAAUGAAAUAGGACGGACUGAUUCUAUUUCGUUGGUUUCUAGGAUCACCGUA